GAUGAACGCUGGCGGCGUGCUUAACACAUGCAAGUCGAACGGACAAGGUGAAACCUAGUGAUCCUUGUUAGUGGCGGACGGGUGAGUAACGCGUGGGCAACCUGCCUCAUACAGGGGGAUAACAGUUAGAAAUAGCUGCUAAUACCGCAUAAUGUGCCGGGAGGCAUCCUCCUGGUACCAAAGCUUUANGUGCUGAAAGAUGGUCUCGCGUCUGAUUAGCUAGAUGGCGGGGUAACGGCCCACCAUGGCGACGAUCAGUAGCCGGUCUGAGAGGAUGAACGGCCACAUUGGGACUGAGAUACGGCCCAGACUCCUACGGGAGGCAGCAGUGGGGAAUAUUGGGCAAUGGGGGAAACCCUGACCCAGCAACGCCGCGUGAAGG
rnacentral:rRNA from 1 species